rnacentral:rRNA from 1 species
CUCAGCAAAGCUCUCGGACCAAGGACAAGAGGUCUCUCCACAUAUGCAAAGGAGUAUCUGGCAAUGGUCUUUGCUAUGGGCCAAUGGCGAGCUUAUCUAUAAUUUUCAGAAUUUAUUAUCAAAAUGGACCAAAACAUUCUGGUACACCUCGAAGAGCGGCGCUUGCACACCCCUUGGCAACAAAAGGCCUUCACCAAACUAUUGGGUCUCCAAUACCAAAUUAUCUACUGUAAAGGGCCGGACAAUAGUGCAGCAGACGCCCUCUCCAGGAGACCCCUUGACACAUCACAACACGUCAAUUAUAUCUCAGUGUGCCAACCAGCAUGGCUCCAAGCAGUGACACAAGGAUAUGUCCAUGAUACGAAGGCUCAACAGCUCAUCACCCAAUUGGCAUUGGCACCAGUGGCGGGCGGGAAGUUCACUUUUCAGCAAGGCGUGUUGCGGUUCAGGGACAGAGUUUGGUUGGACAACAAUGUUGAAAUGCAUGGUCAGAUCAUGCGUGCUCUCCACGAUAGCCCUGUGGGUGGCCACUCGGGAUUUCCUCCUACAUAUAGUAGAAUCAAGAAACUUUUUGUGUGGCCAGGCAUGAAGCAACAUAUCAUGACGCAUGUCCAGACCUGCCAGGUGUGUCAACAGGCUAAACCCGAUCUAUAUCCCUAUCCAGGACUUCUCCAACCCUUACCAGUGGCAAAAAGAUGA